GACGAACGCUGGCGGCGUGCUUAACACAUGCAAGUCGAACGGUGAUGCUCCAGCUUGCUGGCGUGGAUCAGUGGCGAACGGGUGAGUAACACGUGAGCAACCUGCCCCAGACUCUGGAAUAAGCGCUGGAAACGGCGUCUAAUACUGGAUACGAAACUGGCCCGCAUGGGCAUGGUUUGGAAAGUUUUUCGGUUUGGGAUGGGCUCGCGGCCUAUCAGCUUGUUGGUGAGGUAAUGGCUCACCAAGGCGACGACGGGUAGCCGGCCUGAGAGGGCGACCGGCCACACUGGGACUGAGACACGGCCCAGACUCCUACGGGAGGCAGCAGUGGGGAAUAUUGCACAAUGGGCGAAAGCCUGAUGCAGCGACGCCGCGUGAGGGAUGACGGCCUUCGGGUUGUAAACCUCUUUCAGCAGGGAAGAAGCGAAAGUGACGGUACCUGCAGAAGAAGCACCGGCUAACUACGU
rnacentral:rRNA from 1 species